rnacentral:rRNA from 1 species
UUGUCUCAAAGAUUAAGCCAUGCAUGUCUCAGUACAAGCCAAAUUAAGGUGAAACCGCGAAAGGCUCAUUAAAUCAGUUAUGGUUCCUUAGAUCGUACCCACAUUUCCUUGGAUAACUGUGGUAAUUCUAGAGCUAAUACAUGCAAAUAGAGUUCCAACCGGAGACGGGAGGAGCGCUUUUAUUAGAUCAAAACCAAUCGGU